UUCUGACGGGAUCGGACGGGGUAAUUUUCGAAGAGUAUAAUGCAGCGGAAUUAAAACACAGAGAGCGUAAAGCGUAUUCGGUCACAGUUAAAACGAAUUUGGCCUUUUUUAAACAAAAGUAAUUUUCUUUCAGAAAAUUAACCAAACAGUUGAUAUGCGUUAAGUAAAAUAAGUGUAGGGAAUAGAAAAAUCACACGAGUAUUUUUAUACUGGUUCGAUUCAACAGAAUCUACGUCCAGUCGUUAAUCACUACAAAGAGUGAUUAACAGUUCCACUAAAAAUAGUUUUACAGAUUACAAUUAGAUGAACAAGAUUUAGAACGAAAAGAACCACUCUACCAACUUGAAGAGAA
rnacentral:lncRNA from 1 species